AUGAAGAGAACUAAUCGCCGUGGCGACAGGAAGGUGAAGGAGUGGCAGUGGGCACCAAGGCAAAGGCGAGCUGGAGGAGGAGCUGGCCACAUGAGAUGCGGGGGCAGGCCAGCACCUGCUCCAAUCGAUAUGGGGCUCAGGAAGCAAGGAUGGGAAUCAGGAGCCGGCUUCCAACUACAUGACAAAUGUCACCCACCUGUGCCACCAAUUUCUCAACACUCAAACUCCAAAUGACGCUUGCUGGUCAAAUCUGGAUUAAGCCGUUUUCACUCUAGCUGGAGUGAGUGUUCGGAUCCCUCAUGGGAAACUCGGGCUCCAGAGAAGAUAUGCGAUUCAGAUUCAGCAGCCUUUGAACGUCCACUGUGUGUCAGGCAGGGCUUAUGUUGGCUGCGUGUGCGUGUUUAAUUUACAUUUCAGGUUGCAUGGUACAGAAGAGCAAAGCAUGGCUCAGCGAGGCUGAGUAACUUGCCCACCUACAGCCAGAGAGCAGGGAGGUCAAGAUUCUAAGCUAGGUUUUACAGCUUCAAGUCCAAGUCCAGGGUUCCGUCCUUAGACCACAGAUGCCAUUCCAGGUGCAACCCCAGGCCACUUCCUCCAGCAUCCUCCCAGAAUAUUACAGAUCACAUCACUCUAUCCUCCCAGAACACCAUGGCCACAUGUCCACUUCACCUGCAGAAGCUGCCCAGGCUUGGCAGUUGUGUGUUAUUCUUUUCAUCCACUGAUAGAAUGCAGGGCAGGUGGAAAGCAACAGUUUACAGGGGCACUUAACAGUCUCAAAGCCUUCUCGUACAUACUGUCCUCACAACUCUGGGACAUAGGACAGAUAAGCUUUAUUUGCUCUGGGCAGGGAGAGGAGAAGAGAGGGAAGGAGGAAGGAAGCAGAAAGAAAUUAGUGAGUGAGUGAGGACUCAGCCCUGAAGGAUCAAAGUGCUAAGAAUCCUGCUUUAUGGAGAGCAACAUAAGGUCCCUGGUUGGCUGGGAGAGUGGAGAGAUUAACUUUAUUUCAUGAAUACCUACUGGAGGCCAGAUAGCGCGUUAGUAGGUUGUUACAAACAUGAUUUCAUUUAAUGCGAUCCUGCAAUCUUAUUUUUUAAUGGACCUCAGUGCACAAAAUUGAAUUAAUCUGUAUAAUCCUUGCUUCCAUUCAUACUAUCUGUAAUAGUCCAUACUUGGGUCUUACUUAUCUAUUUAUUAUUUCUUUCAAUCAUUUCUUUUAGUGAUACAAUGAACACCU
rnacentral:lncRNA from 1 species